CGACCUCAGAGCAGGCGAGAUCACUCGCUGAAUUUAAGCAUAUUAUUAAGCGGAGAAAAAGAAACUAACUAGGAUUUCCUUAGUAGCGGCGAGCGAACAGGAAAGAGCCCAGCACCGCGGUUCCACCGCAGGGAAAUGUGGUGUUUGGGAGGAUCCGUUUAUCCCGAGGUGUCGCGUCGCGUCCAAGUCCAUCUUGAAUGAGGCCACUUACCCGCAGAGGGUGUCAGGCCCGUAGCGACCGGUGUGCGUCUCGGAAGGAUUCCUCCUUAGAGUCGGGUUGCUUGAGAGUGCAGCUCUAAUUGGGUGGUAAACUCCAGCUAAAUACGACCACGAGACCGAUAGCGAAUAAGUACCGUGAGGGAAAGUUGAAAAGAACUUUGAAGAUAGAGUUCAAGAGUACGUGAAACCAUUCAGGAGUAAACCUAAGAAACCCAAAAGAUCGAACGGGGAGAUUUAUCGUCAGCGACGCUGGCUUCGCGUCGGUGGG
rnacentral:ncRNA from 1 species